rnacentral:lncRNA from 1 species
CUUGCUUUAGGAAGCGGAAGACUAAUGACCGAAGCUUCAAGACUUUGACAUGUGUGAAAACAUGAAAUGGCUGGAGUGCGAUGGCAUGAUCUUGGCUCACGGCAAACUCCGCCUCCCUGGUUCAAGUGAUUCUCCUGCCUCAGCCUCCCGAGUAGCCGGGAUUACAGGCAUGUGCCACCAUGCCCCGUUGGCCAGGCUGGUCUCGAACACCUUACCUCAGGUGAUCCUCCCACCUUUGGGAUUACAGCAGGCUGAGGAAUUACCAAGGAGGCAGGAGGUGGAGCAAAACACACCAAGCCUGGUGCCAAUCAUUGACAAUAUUAUGGUUAGUACUUACUGAGGGCUGACUAUGGUUGAAACUGCCUUUGCAAAAUUAUGACUGAGACGGUGAAAGAGAUCUAACUUAACCAACGCUAGCUAUCUUGCCUCUAACCUCCAAGCUGUCCUUGUUCAUUCCUGGGCAUAGGCUGAACUAACUUUGGGAGAAAUUUAGUUUAUAGUUUGAAACAAAGAUGAUAACAGCCCUUUGCCAAAGCAGACCUCCUUCUUGUCUGGGGACUAGAUGGCCUUUGUAGGACUAACAUGAGCCACAAGAUUAGAAAUUAUGGAUAGGAGUCAUGCAGCUGGAGUCUCCAAGAUUCUGACCCUCCCUAAACUGCUCCCAAGAUCAAUGCUUGAGAUAUUUUGCAGACCCUGCAUGUGAUGGAUCAGCUGACACCAUCCAGAUCGGUAAACUGGUUCAUCUGAUCUUGUGCCCUCCACCCAGGAACUGACUCAGCGCAAGAAGACAGCUUCGACUCCUUGUGAUUUCAUCCCUAACCAAUCAGCACUCCUGGCUCACUGGCUUCCCCCAACCCACCAAAUUGUCCUUAAAAACUCUGCUCUCCAAACGCUGGGGGAGACUGAUUUGAGUAAUAAUAAAACCCUGGUCUCCUGCA